AAUAUUUCUUCCCUGCGCAAGGAUUCCAGUAUCGUGUAAACGGAAAUCAUCUCAAUUAUUUAAUAUAAAAGUAUAUAUUACAUUAAAGGUGAUCUACAGUCCGAUCUGCACAUGUGCACAAAUGAGCCCACAGUUUAUGAUACAAACAGUUUAACUAUGUUUUGAGUUCUUGAAAAGCCUGAUUGUGGUUUCCUGAUCAUUUAUUAUACUCUAGAAGCUUGAAAAUAUAAAUAGUUGUCGAAUAAAGCUCAGUAUUUUGGACACAAAAAUGUAAACAAAGGCUUUGUUUACAUACGGACUGUAGAUCACCUUUAAACAUUACCUUUCAUCCAAACUAGUUUGGUUCUGUAAGGGACUGGUCAUAAAGUAAAAGGGGUGGGCUGGGAAAAAGGGGUUUGUGGGUCACUAUUUUUGAGCAUGGUUGAAGGCGUGGGUCAGGUAAAAAUAUGAAAAUAUGCAGAAU